UAGAACUUUUACAUUGUUGGUAAUCAC
rnacentral:sRNA from 1 species